AGCGAACGCUGGUGGCAGGCUUAACACAUGCAAGUCGAGCGGGCACUUUCGGGUGUCAGCGGCGGACGGGUGAGUAACGCGUGGGAACGUGCCCUCUGGUUCGGAAUAACUCAGGGAAACUUGAGCUAAUACCGGAUACGCCCUUUUGGGGAAAGGCUUGCUGCCGGAGGAUCGGCCCGCGUCUGAUUAGCUAGUUGGUGAGGUAACGGCUCACCAAGGCGACGAUCAGUAGCUGGUCUGAGAGGAUGAUCAGCCACACUGGGACUGAGACACGGCCCAGACUCCUACGGGAGGCAGCAGCGGGGAAUAUUGGACAAUGGGCGCAAGCCUGAUCCAGCCAUGCCGCGUGAGUGAUGAAGGCCUUAGGGUUGUAAAGCUCUUUUAUCCGGGACGAUAAUGACGGUACCGGAGGAAUAAGCCCCGGCUAACUUCGUG
rnacentral:rRNA from 1 species